rnacentral:rRNA from 1 species
CUGAAGGCGCGUGCCUAUAAUGCAAGUUGAGCGCUGAAGGUUGGUACUUGUACCAACUGGAUGAGCAGCGAACGGGUGAGUAACGCGUGGGGAAUCUGCCUUUGAGCGGGGGACAACAUUUGGAAACGAAUGCUAAUACCGCAUAAAAACUUUAAACACAAGUUUUAAGUUUGAAAGAUGCAAUUGCAUCACUCAAAGAUGAUCCCGCGUUGUAUUAGCUAGUUGGUGAGGUAAAGGCUCACCAAGGCGAUGAUACAUAGCCGACCUGAGAGGGUGAUCGGCCACAUUGGGACUGAGACACGGCCCAAACUCCUACGGGAGGCAGCAGUAGGGAAUCUUCGGCAAUGGACGAAAGUCUGACCGAGCAACGCCGCGUGAGUGAAGAAGGUUUUCGGAUCGUAAAACUCUGUUGGUAGAGAAGAACGUUGGUGAGAGUGGAAAGCUCAUCAAGUGACGGUAACUACCCAGAAAGGGACGGCUAACUACGUGCCAGCAGCCGCGGUAAUACGUAGGUCCCGAGCGUUGUCCGGAUUUAUUGGGCGUAAAGCGAGCGCAGGUGGUUUAUUAAGUCUGGUGUAAAAGGCAGUGGCUCAACCAUUG